ACAAGCGGUGGAGCAUGUGGUUUAAAUUCGAUGAUACGCGAGGAACCUUACCUGGGCUCAAAUGUAUGUUGACGUAUUCUGAAAGGGAUACUUCUUCGGACAAUAUACAAGGUGCUGCAUGGUUGUCGUCAGCUCGUGCCGUGAGGUGUCGGGUUAAGUCCCAUAACGAGCGCAACCCCUAUCAUUAGUUGCCAUCAGGUCAAGCUGGGGACUCUAAUGAAACUGCCUACGCAAGUAGUGAGGAAGGUGGGGAUGACGUCAAAUCAGCACGGCCCUUACGUCCAGGGCUACACACGUGCUACAAUGGCCGGUACAAAGGGCAGCUACCUGGUGACAGGAUGCAAAUCUCCAAAGUCGGUCUCAGUUCGGAUCGGAGUCUGCAACCCGACUCCGUGAAGUUGGAUUCGCUAGUAAUCGCGCAUCAGCCAUGGCGCGGUGAAUACGUUCCCGGGCCUU
rnacentral:rRNA from 1 species